CUCAGAGUGGACGUUGUCUCCGCCCGGAGUUCCCGAGGGUUCGGUUAACGGGGUCAGGUGAUCGCGUCUGAUUUUGGCAUCAGUUGCUUUAGGGAGGAUGUGACUUGCAAGAAGGUUCUGGAGGAGACCAGAAACAGACACUUAAUGAAGCAGACCCACUGGUUGAGUCUAUUCUUUGUAGAAUUCUUCAGCAAAGCUGCCCACACAAGUCAAAAUUCAGGAGAGUCCCCGGGGAGAGUUAAAUGCUCCGAAUUCCAGGCCUACCCUAUGCACGUAUUUGCCUCUGUAACCUUCACCUAUGACCAGUGCCCAGUACCGUGAUUUCCUACGUCAGUGCAGCGUGUCAAACCGUCACAGACGCCAAGGCUCUGCGCUCCAACCCAGGGCCCAGACCACCUGCCACAGGGGCCGUCUCACUGACGGAGGCGACAUUCGUGCUGCCACCCAGGAGCCAGUGUUUCGAGACCGCAGAUUUAAGUCAUGCUUCCUGAUGUCCGACCUCCAUUACAGCUGUCAUUGGGCUAAAUACACCCAAGUAAUUUCUUUU